GCGAACGCUGGCGGCAGGCCUAACACAUGCAAGUCGAGCGCCCGUAGCAAUACGGGAGCGGCAGACGGGUGAGUAACACGUGGGAACGUGCCCUUUGGUUCGGAAUAACUCAGGGAAACUUGAGCUAAUACCGGAUAAGUCCGUAAGGAGAAAGAUUUAUCGCCGAAGGAGCGGCCCGCGUCCGAUUAGCUAGUUGGUGGGGUAAUGGCCCACCAAGGCUACGAUCGGUAGCUGGUCUGAGAGGAUGACCAGCCACACUGGGACUGAGACACGGCCCAGACUCCUACGGGAGGCAGCAGUGGGGAAUAUUGGACAAUGGGGGCAACCCUGAUCCAGCCAUGCCGCGUGGGUGAUGAAGGCCCUAGGGUUGUAAAGCCCUUUCGGCGGGGAAGAUAAUGACGGUACCCGCAGAAGAAGCCCCGGCUAACUUCGU
rnacentral:rRNA from 1 species